rnacentral:rRNA from 1 species
AACGAACGCUGGCGGCAUGCCUAACACAUGCAAGUCGAACGAGACCUUCGGGUCUAGUGGCGUACGGGUGCGUAACGCGUGGGAACCUGCCCUUAGGUUCGGAAUAACUCCCCGAAAGGGGUGCUAAUACCGGAUAAUGUCUUCGGACCAAAGAUUUAUCGCCUUUGGAUGGGCCCGCGUUGGAUUAGCUAGUUGGUAGGGUAAAAGCCUACCAAGGCGACGAUCCAUAGCUGGUCUGAGAGGAUGAUCAGCCACACUGGGACUGAGACACGGCCCAGACUCCUACGGGAAGCAGCAGUGGGGAAUAUUGGACAAUGGGCGAAAGCCUGAUCCAGCAAUGCCGCGGGAGUGAUGAAGGCCUUAGGGUUGUAAAGCUCUUUUACCCGGGAUGAUAAUGACAGUACCGGGAGAAUAAGCUCCGGCUAACUCCGUG